AGCUGUGAUGGGGAGAAGACAUUGUGUCUUCGAGUCGUUGAUUUCACACUGCCGAGAAAAGCCUCUAGAUAGAAAAUAGGUGCCCGUACCGCAAACCGACACAGGUAGUCAAGAUGAGAAUUCUAAGGUGAGCGAGCGAACUCUCGUUAAGGAACUCGGCAAAAUGACCCCGUAACUUCGGGAGAAGGGGUGCUCUUUAGGGUUAACGCCCAGAAGAGCCGCAGUGAAUAGGCCCAAGCGACUGUUUAUCAAAAACACAGGUCUCUGCUAAACCGUAAGGUGAUGUAUAGGGGCUGACGCCUGCCCGGUGCUGGAAGGUUAAGAGGAGUGGUUAGCUUCUGCGAAGCUACGAAUCGAAGCCCCAGUAAACGGCGGCCGUAACUAUAACGGUCCUAAGGUAGCGAAAUUCCUUGUCGGGUAAGUUCCGACCCGCACGAAAGGCGUAACGAUUUGGGCACUGUCUCAACGAGAGACUCGGUGAAAUCAUAGUACCUGUGAAGAUGCAGGUUACCCGCGACAGGACGGAAAGACCCCGUGGAGCUUUACUGUAGCCUGAUAUUGAAAUUCGGCACAGCUUGUACAGGAUAGGUAGGAGCCUUUGAAACGUGAGCGCUAGCUUACGUGGAGGCGCUGGUGGGAUACUACCCUAGCUGUGUUGGCUUUCUAACCCGCACCACU
rnacentral:rRNA from 1 species